rnacentral:tRNA from 1 species
AAAAAGAUAAGCUAAUUAAGCUCCUAGGUUCAUACCCUAAUCAUAAAGGUAAUAAUCCUUUUCUUUUUA